UGUAUGUUACUAAUUCCAUUGUUCUAAA
rnacentral:sRNA from 1 species